CCCUCGGAGAGUUACAGCAAACAAAAGUAGCUUCGGCAAAAUUGGACUCGUAGAACAGGGAA
rnacentral:sRNA from 15 species